UGAGCUUGAAUCCCCAUUUUCUCUCUAAAAAAGUUCUCACUUUCUCUCUCUAUGAAUUUUUUCUCUCUAAAAUUAUUUUUCUUUAUAGAAUUUUUUCUCUCUAUGAUUGAUCCAGUAAAAAAUUCUCUUUCAAUGAUUUUAAUUUAACUAUAGUAAAGAGAAUCAUGAUCUACUAUCGCUGGACAACAUGCCAGUAUCCACCUUAGACAGAUCCAGAUAUCAUUAGUUGUAGCUUAAGACUGAUAGAAGAAUAUA
rnacentral:lncRNA from 1 species